rnacentral:rRNA from 1 species
CAUGCAAGUCGCACGAGAACGCUUCAGCUUGCUGAAGUUAGUAAAGUGGCGCACGGGUGAGUAACGCGUGGGUAAUCUACCCCCGAAUUGGGGAUAACAUCGCGAAAGCGAUGCUAAUACCGAAUGAUAUCUUGAAAACUCUGUUUUCUGGAUUAAAGAUGGCCUCUACAUGUAAGCUAUUGUUUGGGGAUGAGCCCGCGUACCAUUAGCUUGUUGGUAGGGUAAUGGCCUACCAAGGCAACGAUGGUUAGCUGGUCUGAGAGGAUGAUCAGCCACACUGGAACUGACACACGGUCCAGACUCCUACGGGAGGCAGCAGUGAGGAAUUUUGCGCAAUGGGGGAAACCCUGACGCAGCAACGCCGCGUGAGUGAUGAAGGCUUUCGGGUCGUAAAGCUCUGUCAAGUGGGAAGAAACCAUAUGGUAUUAAUACCGCCAUAUGUUGACGGUACCAUUGAAGGAAGCACCGGCUAACUCCGUGCCAGCAGCCGCGGUAAUACGGGGGGUGCGAGCGUUAUUCGGAUUUACUGGGCGUAAAGAGCGCGUAGGCGGUCUUUUAAGUCAGGUGUGAAAGCCCGGGGCUCAACCCCGGAAGUGCACUUGAAACUAAGAGACUUGAGUAUGGGAGAGGGAAGUGGAAUUCCUGGUGUAGCGGUGAAAUGCGUAGAUAUCACGAGGAACAUCGGUGGCGAAGGCGACUUCCUGGACCAAUACUGACGCUGAGGCGCGAAGGCGUGGGGAGCAAACAGGAUUAGAUACCCUGGUAGUCCACGCAGUAAACCAUGCAAGUCCAUGCAAGUCCAUGCAAGUCCAUGCAAGUCCGCAGC